rnacentral:tRNA from 1 species
GCGGGCGUAGCUCAGUUGGCUAGAGCGACAGCUUGCCAUGCUGUAGGUCGUGAGUUCGAGUCUCAUCGCCCGCUCCA